CUACGGGUCGCAGCAGUCGCGAAACCUCUACAAUGCGCGAAAGCGUGAUAGGGGGAUUCCCAGUGCUAGCACUGCUAGCUUUUGCCAAGUCUAGAACGCUUGGCGAAUAAGUGGGGGGUAAGAUGCGUGCCAGCCGCCGCGGUAACACGUACUCCACAAGUGGUGUCCACUAAUAUUGGGCUUAAAACGUGCGUAGCUUGCCGUAAAAGUCCCCUGUGAAAUCAACCCGCUUAACGGGUUGGCGUGCAAGGGAAACUAUACGGCUCGAGGCCGGGAGAGGUUAGAGGAAUUCUUGGAGUAGCGGUGAAAUGCUAAGAUCCCAAGAGGACCACCGGUAGCGAAGGCGUCUAACCAGAACGGACCUGACAGUGAGGCACGAAAGCCAGGGGAGCGACCCGGAUUAGAUACCCUCGUAGUC
rnacentral:rRNA from 1 species